UGCACCUCUUGAGAGCGGCGGACGGGUGAGUAAUGCCUAGGAAUCUGCCUGGUAGUGGGGGAUAACGCUCGGAAACGGACGCUAAUACCGCAUACGUCCUACGGGAGAAAGCAGGGGACCUUCGGGCCUUGCGCUAUCAGAUGAGCCUAGGUCGGAUUAGCUAGUUGGUGGGGUAAUGGCUCACCAAGGCGACGAUCCGUAACUGGUCUGAGAGGAUGAUCAGUCACACUGGAACUGAGACACGGUCCAGACUCCUACGGGAGGCAGCAGUGGGGAAUAUUGGACAAUGGGCGAAAGCCUGAUCCAGCCAUGCCGCGUGUGUGAAGAAGGUCUUCGGAUUGUAAAGCACUUUAAGUUGGGAGGAAGGGCAUUAGCCUAAUACUUUAGUAUUUUGACGUUACCGACAGAAUAAGCACCGGCUAACUCUGUGCCAGCAGCCGCGGUAAUACAGAGGGUGCAAGCGUUAAUCGGAAUUACUGGGCGUAAAGCGCGCGUAGGUGGUUUGUUAAGUUGGAUGUGAAAUCCCCGGGCUCAACCUGGGAACUGCAUUCAAAACUGACAAGCUAGAGUAUGGUAGAGGGUGGUGGAAUUUCCUGUGUAGCGGUGAAAUGCGU
rnacentral:rRNA from 1 species